rnacentral:rRNA from 1 species
AAUAGAUACCCAGGUAGUCCACGCCGUAAACGAUGAGUGCUAAGUGUUGGGGGGGUUUUCCGCCCCUCAGUGCUGCAGCUAACGCAUUAAGCACUCCGCCUGGGGAGUACGGUCGCAAGACUGAAACUCAAAGGAAUUGACGGGGGCCCGCACAAGCGGUGGAGCAUGUGGUUUAAUUCGAAGCAACGCGAAGAACCUUACCAGGUCUUGACAUCCCGGUGACCACUAUGGAGACAUAGUUUCCCCUUCGGGGGCAACGGUGACAGGUGGUGCAUGGUUGUCGUCAGCUCGUGUCGUGAGAUGUUGGGUUAAGUCCCGCAACGAGCGCAACCCUUAUUCUUAGUUGCCAUCAUUCAGUUGGGCACUCUAAGGAGACUGCCGGUGAUAAACCGGAGGAAGGUGGGGAUGACGUCAAAGUCAUCAUGCCCCUUAUGACCUGGGCUAUACACGUGCUACAAUGGACGGUACAAACGGUUGCAACCCGCGAGGGGGAGCUAAUCCGAUAAAACCGUUCUCAGUUCGGAUUGUAGGCUGCAACUCGCCUAC